CGUGUAGGCGGGAUUGCAAGUCAGAUGUGAAAACUGGGGGCUCAACCUCCAGCCUGCAUUUGAAACUGUAGUUCUUGAGUGCUGGAGAGGCAAUCGGAAUUCCGUGUGUAGCGGUGAAAUGCGUAGAUAUACGGAGGAACACCAGUGGCGAAGGCGGAUUGCUGGACAGUAACUGACGCUGAGGCGCGAAGCGUGGGAGCAAACA
rnacentral:rRNA from 1 species